GCUGACUCUUUUCAGACUCAGUCCGCCUACACCCAGGUGAAAUAAACAGCCAUGUUGCUCACACAAAGCCUGUUUGGUGGUCUUUUCACACGGACGCGCAUGAAAUUUGGUGCCGUGACUCCGAUUGGGGGAUCUCCCUUGGGAGAUCAAUCCCCUGUCCUCCUGUUCUUUGCUCUGUGAGAAAGAUCCACCUACCACCUCAGGUCCUCAGACCGACCAGCACAAGAAACAUCUCACCAAUUUCAAAUCCGGUAAGCAGACUCUUUUUACUCUCUUCUCCAACCUCCCUAUCCCUCAACCUCUUUCUCUUUUCAAUCUUGGCGCCACACUUCAAUCUCUCCCUUCUCUUAAUUUCAAUUCCUUUCAUUUUCUGGUAGAGACAAAGGAGACAAGUUUUAUCUGUGGACCCAAAACUCUGGCGCCGGUCACGGACUGGGAAGGCAGCCUUCCCUUGGUGUUUAAUCAUUGCAGGGACGCCUCUCUGAUUAUACAGUCACGUUUCAAGGGUGUCAGACCACGCAGGGACGCCUGCCUUGGUCCUUCACCCUUAGCAGCAAGUCCCGCUUUUCUGGGGAAGGGGCAAGUAUCCCAACCCCUUCUCUCCUUGUCUCUACCCCUUCUCUGCUUUUCCGGGGACGGGACAUGUACCCCAACCCCUUCUCUGUCUCUACUCCUUCUCUGCUAUCCUGGGGCAGGGGCAAGUACACCUCAACCCCUUCUCCUUCACCCUUAGCGGCAAGUCCCGCUUUCCUAGGGGGCAAGAACCCCCCAAUCGCUUAUUUCCACACCCCAACCUCUUAUCUCUGCACCCCAAUCCCUUAUUUCCACGCCCCAAUCUCUUAUCUCUGCACCCCAAUCCCUUAUUUCCGUGCCCCAACACUUUCUCUGCUUUUCUGGAGGGCAAGAAACCCCCACCCCUUCUCCGUGUCUCUACUCUUUUCUCUGGGCUUGCCUCCUUCACUAUGGGCAAGCUUCCACCUUCCAUUCCUCUUUCUUCUCCCUUAGCCUGUAUUCUUAAGAACUUAAAACCUCUUCAAUUCUCACCUGACCUAAAAUCUAAGCGUCUUAUUUUCUUCUGCAAUGCCGCUUGACCCCAAUACAAACUCAACAGUAGUUCCAAAUAGCCAGAAAACGGCACUUUCAAUUUUUCCAUCCUACAAGAUCUAAAUAAUUCUUGUCGUAAAAUGGGCAAAUGGUCUGAGGUGCCUGACGGCCAGGCAUUCUUUUACACAUCAGUCCCUUCCUAGUCUCUGUGCCCCGUGCAAUUCGUCCCAAAUCUUCCUUCUUUCCCUCCCACCUGUCCCCUCAGUACCAACCCCAAGCAUCGCUGAGUCUUUCUAAUCUUCCUUUUCUACAGACCCAUCUGACCUCUCCCCUCCUCGACAGGCCGAGCUAGGUCCCAAUUCUUCCUCAGCCUCCGCUCCUCCACCCUAUAAUCUUUUUUAUCGCCUCCCCUCCUCACACCUGCUUCGGCUUACAGUUUCAUUCCGUGACUAGCCCUCCCCCACCUGCCCAGCAAUUUAUUCUUAAAAAGGUGGCUGGAACUAAAGGCAUAGUCAAGGUUAAUGCUCCUUUUUCUUUAUCGCAAAUCAGAAAGCGUUUAGGCUCUUUUUCAUCAAAUAUAAAAAUCCAGCCCAGUUCAUGGCUCGUUUGGCAGCAACCCUGAGACGCUUUACAGCCCUAGACCCUAAAAGGUCAAAAGGCCGUCUUAUUCUCAAUAUACAUUUUAUUACCCAAUCUGCUCCCAACAUUAAAUAAAACUCCAAAAACUGGAAUCUGGCCCUCAAACCCCACAACAGGACUUAAUUAACCUCACCUUCAAGGUGUGCAAUAACAGAAAAAAGAUGCAAUUCCUUGCCUCCACUGUGAGACAAACCCCAGCCACAUCUCCAGCACACAAGAACUUCCAAACGCCUGAACUGUAGCAGCCAGGCGUUUCUCCAGAACCUCCUCCCCCAGGAACUUGCUACACAUGCCAGAAAUCUGGCCACUGGGCCAAGGAACGCCCGCAGCCCGGGAUUCCUCCUAAGCCGCGUCCCAUCUGUGUGGGACCCCACUGAAAAUCGGACUGUUCAACUCACCUGGCAGCCACUCCCAGAGCUCCUGGAACUCUGGCCCAAGGCUCUCUGACUGACUCCUUCUUGGCUUACCGGCUGAAGACUGACGCUGCCUGAUCACCUCAGAAGCCCCGUAGACCAUCACGGAUGCCGAGCUUUAGGUAACUCACAGUGGAGGGUAAGUCCAUCCCCUUCUUAAUCAAUAUGGAGGCUACCCACUCCACAUUACCUUCUUUUCAAGGGUCUGUUUCCCUUGCCUCCAUAACUGUUGUGGGUAUUGACGGCCAGGCUUCUAAACCUCUUAAAACUCCCCCACUCUCGUGCCAACUUAGACAAUACUCUUUUAUGCACUCUUUUUUAGUUAUCUCCACCUGCCCAGUUCCCUUAUUAGGCCGAGAUAUUUUAACCAAAUUAUCUGCUUCCCUGACUCUUCCUAGACUACAGCCACAUCUCAUUGCCGCCCUUCUCCCCAACCCAAAGCCUCCUUCGAGUCUUCCUCUCAUAUCCCGCCACCUUAACCCACAAGUAUAGGACAUCUCUACUCCUUCCCUGGCAACCGAUCACAUGCCCAUUACCAUUCCAUUAAAACCUAAUCACCCUUACCCCGCUCAACGGCAAUAUCCCAUCCCACAGCACACUUUGAAAGGAUUAAAGCCUGUUAACACUCGCCUGCUACAGCAUGGCCUUUUAAACCCUAUAAACUCUCCUUACCAUUCCCCCAUUUUACUUGUCUUAAAACCAGACAAGGCUUACAAGUUAGUUCAGAAUCUGCGCCUUAUCAACCAAAUUGUUUUGCCUAUCCACCCCGUGGUGCCAACCCAUAUACUCUCCUAUCCUCAAUAGCUCCCUCUACUACCCAUUAUUCUGUUCUAAUCUCAAACAUGCUUUCUUUACUAUUCCUUUGCACCCUUCAUCCCAGCCUCUCUUUGCUUUCACUUAGACUGACCCUGACACCGAUUAGGCCCAGCAAAUUACCUGGGCUGUACUGCCACGAGGCUUCACAAACAGCCCCCAUUACUUCAGUGAAGCCCAAAUUUCAUCCUCAUCUGUUACCUAUCUCGGCAUAAUUCUCAUAAAAACACACGUGCUUUCCCUGCUGAUCAUGUCCGAUUAAUCUCCCAAACCUCAAUCCCUUACAAAACAACAACUCCUUUCCUUCCUAGGCAUGGUUAGUGCGGUCAGAAUUCUUACACAAGAGCCAGGACCACACCCUGUAGCCUUUCUGUCCAAACAACUUGACCUUACUGUUUUAGCCUAGCCCUCAUGUCUGCGUGCAGAGGCUGCCGCUGCUUUAAUACUUUUGGAGGCCCUAAAAAUCACAAACUAUGCUCAACUCACUCUCUACAUGUCUCAUAACUUCCAAAAUCUAUUUUCUUCCUCAUACCUGACGCAUAUACUUUCUGCUCCCCAGCUCCUUCAGCUGUACUCACUCUUUGUUAAGUCCCACAAUUACCAUUGUUCCUGGCCCGGACUUCAAUCUGGCUGCCCACAUUAUUCCUGAUACCACACCUGACCCCCAUGACUGUAUCUCUCUGAUCCACCUGAUAUUCACCCCAUUUCCCCAUAUUUCCUUCUUUCCUGUUCCUCACCCUGAUCACGCUUGAUUUAUUGAUGGCAGUUCCACCAGGCCUAAUCACCACAUACCAGCAAAGGCAGGCUAUGCUAUAGUAUAAGCCACUAGCCCGCCUCUCAGAACCUCUCAUUUCCUUUCCAUCGUGGAAAUCUAUCCUCAAGGAAAUAACUUCUCAGUGUUCCAUCUGCUAUUCUACUACUCCUCGGGGAUUAUUCAGGCCCCCUCCCUUCCCUACACAUCAAGCUCCAGGAUUUGCCCCCACCCAGGACUGGCAAAUUAGCUUUACUCAACAUGCCCAAGUCAGGAAACUAAAAUACCUCUUAGUCUAAAUAGACACUUUCACUGAAUAAGUAAAGGCCUUUCCUACAGGGUGUGAGAAGGCCACCGUAGUCAUUUCUUCCCUUCUGUCAGACAUAAUUCCUCAGUUUAGCCUUCCCACCUCUAUACAGUCUGAUAACAGACCAGCCUUUAUUAGUCAAAUCAGCCAAGCAGUUUUUCAGGCUCUUAGUAUUCAGUGAAACCUUUAUAUCCCUUACGGUCCUCCCUCUUCAAGAAAAGUAGAACGGACUAAAGGUCUUUUAAAAACACACCUCACCAAGCUCAGCCACCAACUUAAAAAGGACUGGACAAUACUUUUACCGCUUCUGCUUCUCAGAAUUCAGGCCUGUCCUCAGAAUGCUACAAGGUACAGCCCAUUUAAGCUCCUGUAUAGAUGCUCCUUUUUAUUAGGCCCCAGUCUCAUUCCAGACACCGGACCAACUUAGACUGUGCCCCCAAAAAACUUGUCAUCCCUACUAUUUUCUGUCUAGUCAUACUCCUAUUCUCCAUUCUCAACUACUCAUACAUGCCCUGCUCUUGUUUACACUGCCGGUUUACACUGCUUCUCCAAGCCAUCACAGCUGAUAUCUCCUGGUGCUAUCCCCAAACUGCCACUCUUAACUCUUGAAGUAAAUAAAUAAUCUCCGCUGGCAGGAAUAUGCUGAAUCUCCUCAGGCACUCUCUAAUCAGAUAUCCUGAGUCGUCCCAAUUCUUAGACCUUUUAUACCUGUUUUUCUCCUUCUUAUUCCAUUUAGUUUUUCAUUUCAUACAAAACCGUAUCCAGGCCAUCACCAAUCAUUCUAUACAACAAAUGUUUCUUAUAACAACCCCACAAUAUCACCCCUUACCACGAGAUCUCCUUUCAGCUUAAUCUCUCCCACUCUAGGUUCCCACGCCGCCCCUAAUCCCGCUUGAAGCAGCCCUGAGAAACACCGCCCAUUCUCUCUCCAUACCACCCCCUAAAAAUUUUCGCCGCCCCAACACUUGCAACACUAUUUUGUUUUAUUUUUCUUAUUAAUAUAAGAAGGCAGGAAUGUCAGGUCUCUGAGCCCAAGCCAAGCCAUCGCAUCCCCUGUGACUUGCACGUAUAUACGCCCAGAUGGCCUGAAGUAACUGAAGAAUCACAAAAGAAGUGAAAAGGCCCUGCCCCAUCUUAACUGAUGACACUCCACCAUUGUGAUUUGUUCCUGCCCCACCUUAACUGAGUGAUUAACCCUGUGAAUUUCCUUCUCCUGGCUCAGAAGCUCCCCCACUGAGCACCUUGUGACCCCCCACCCCUGCCCACCAGAGAACAACCCCCUUUGACUGUAAUUUUCCAUUACCUUCCCAAAUCCUAUAAAAUGGCCCCACCCCUAUCUCCCUUUGCUGACUCUCUUUUCGGACUCAGUCCGCCUGCACCCAGGUGAAAUAAACAGCCAUGUUGCUCACACAAAGCCUGUUUGGUGGUCUCUUCACACGCAUGAAAGUGCAAAUGUAAUUUACAUUUGUAUUUGAACAAGCUGAUUAGCUUGAUUAGCCUGAUAGAAAUAGAAGUUGUCAAUAUUUUAUUAGUAACUUAUAAUUUAUAGAAUUAUAUAAUUUAUAGGUAUAUAAUACAAUUAGAGCAAUAUCUAUUAUUUUUAUAGUUUGUGUAUUGCUCUGAUUCACCCCAUACACACAAUUAGAGUAACCAACCUAAAUAAUUUUGUGAUGAAGCCAAUGAUAAAUACAAUGUAAAUUUCCUCAAAAUAAUAGGCAAUCUCGCUAUUCCCAAUCACCAAAAGGAUUUUUUAAAUGUUGCACAUUAGAAGACCUACUUUAAAAGUCAAUCUAAAUGCCUUAUAACAGGAAAAACUUCUUUCAUAAUUUUUUGAUAAAUUUUGCAAAUUUAAAAAUGUUACAGUAUUUUAUUGUAAAUUUGGUACAUUUUGGUAUACCUUAUUGAAAAUUAUUUGGGAAUGUUCACUUAAACCAUUCAACAAAUGAACCACCACAAAAUGUCAGACUUUGAAGCUUUCAGCAAACAGGAAUUACUGAAAACAAAGCUUUCAAAGGGAAAGAUAUUGAAGUUUAUCCCAAAAAAGAGAGAAGCUGAACUUGUUUUUAAUGAGAAUUCAAAUAAUAUACAAGAUUUACCUUUAAUUUUCAAUCAUUUUACUUUUGAUAUUUUACUUUGUAAGAAAGUUA
rnacentral:lncRNA from 1 species